GGAGGCGAAAAACGCGAUACGCGGGAACUUCAAAUCGUGGUGAUCAAUAUAAGCCUUAACUGGAAUCAAGUUAGGAUCGCAAGAAUGAUUGAUGAAGCGGGCUAUAUUGCCGUAACGCCGGGCGUCAAUGCAGUAUGUUUCUCCAUCCUUUAGGAAGUAUUGUAAAAAAAUUCUUUUAAGCUCUUCGUGAUUUCCGUAGUUCUCUAUUCAUGCAAUUACCUUAUUAUCCAAAUCGAAAAGAUAAGAAUCAUCUUCACGUUGGUCAGCUUCAAAGUCAGUGAUGAUUUCUCCAAUGUACCUAGCAAACGACAAUAGGAAAUCAACAGUGAAUCACGUCGUCAGAAAGCUCUUCACACUUACUCGCAGACGUAGGAGCCUUUUGCAAUAGUUUGGGCGGCUCUGACUCCCCAGCCUUUGUUUUCGAUACGGAAGAGAACUAACCGUGAGGUUCUUUAAAGAAGUUUAAAAGUAUUACUAGAAUGACUUGCCUGCAAAAUUGAAGUCGGAUAGGAGUUUGCCUUCGUCGUCGUACCAGCAGCGAAAACUGAGACUCGAACAAUUGCAACCGACUGAGCAGUCCCCGACGCACUCGCAAAACUAGGUCAAAACGUCCACCUCUAGUUAUCAGAAGCAAAGCGCAUUCACAGUUGUCACGACGACUUGCAGUAUGCCUUCAGAAUGACAAACACGCAUUAA